ensembl:lncRNA
AGGAGAUGACAGACAGUAAAAAGUAAUAGAGAUAUUUUUCCUAUAACAUCAAUACCUAAGGGAUUGCGGGUUACUACUGGAAUUUCCACAUUUUAUAAAGUCACUUCUAUGUUUUUGUUUGAUUUAUGUCUUUAUUUUUAACGUAAUAUAAUUAUAUGCUCUUUAAAAAAGUUUCCAAUAUACCCAUCACUUUUUGACAAUCAGUCAAAUUGUUACUGUAUCAUGAGUUACAUAAUACUGCAUACAUUAUAAAGUCAGGUUUCUUGGAAAAGCUUUUCAAGGCCUUGGAGAGAACUGAUUUGGAAAGGAAGGCAAUUCUCUACCACUGAGUUUCAGAGCAAAAGGAAGAAACAAAUCAUCCAUGUAAGUGGACUUAUUAUCUCCAUGUCCAAAUGCAGAAUUCCUCAGCAUCAUUAGGCUUAUUAAUUGACCUGAGAGUUAACAACCCCUUUGCCCAGUGGGGGCUCGUUGAGUUGCCUUGUCGGUUCUCCACAUGGCUCAUUCGGCCAAUUCAUUAGAGCCUGUUUCUCCCAGGUGCUUGCAAUGAGUUGCCUUGUUUGGCUUCUUGUGCUUUGCUUCUCAUGGACCUCGUUCAUAAUGUUACCUAGUUUCUGAUGCUCCUUAAGUGCUGUGUUUGACCAGCCCACUUGCAGCUAGUGGUUUAAUACAGACGUCUCGAAGAAAGGAAGAAGGCCAGGAAUGAGGUGGGACAGGGGAGUUGGAGGUGAGGGAGGCCAGAUUCUUCCCUCCCACCCACCCCCUUGCCUGUGAUCCUGGAAAGAGCCAGCAGGUGGUAGCAAUACUUCGCGGGAAAGCCUCAGCUCAGCACUGGUAGGACAGGAACAAUAGACCCCCCAAUCCUGUCCCGGCUUUGAGAGGAGGUGGGCGGAAAUAUAUAUAUUUUUCCCCCUCGCGGUGUCCCCUCCGUUCCUUAACACUUCCAGGCACCCGCUGCGAGUUCCUCCCACCGCCUCCCACCCGUGUGGGUUGGCUCCCUCUGGGGAGCGGGCAGGGAGGAGGCACCCAGGGGUUCAGCGACUUGCCGGAGCAGUCUCACGCCCACCUUAGUUCAAAUCUGAGUAGGAACUAAAACGGUGGGUUUAGUUCCUAGAGUUGAAGCAGAAAAACAGGAGAGGCGAGGGCGCGCGGGUGUCCCUGCUUGGUC